rnacentral:rRNA from 1 species
GACGAACGCUGGCGGCGUGCUUAACACAUGCAAGUCGAACGGAAAGGCCCUGCUUUUGUGGGGUGCUCGAGUGGCGAACGGGUGAGUAACACGUGAGUAACCUGCCCUUGACUUUGGGAUAACUUCAGGAAACUGGGGCUAAUACCGGAUAGGAGCUCCUGCUGCAUGGUGGGGGUUGGAAAGUUUCGGCGGUUGGGGAUGGACUCGCGGCUUAUCAGCUUGUUGGUGGGGUAGUGGCUUACCAAGGCUUUGACGGGUAGCCGGCCUGAGAGGGUGACCGGCCAAAUUGGGACUGAGAUACGGCCCAGACUCCUACGGGAGGCAGCAGUGGGGAAUAUUGCACAAUGGGCGGAAGCCUGAUGCAGCAACGCCGCGUGCGGGAUGACGGCCUUCGGGUUGGAAACCGCUUUCGCCUGUGACGAAGCGUGAGUGACGGUAAUGGGUAAAGAAGCACCGGCUAACUACGUG